AGGAAAUAGAUACCCGGGUAGUCCACGCCCUAAACGAUGUCAACUAGGUGUUGGAGGAGCAAUCCUUUGGUACCGCAGCUAAACGCGUGAAGUUGACCGCCUGGGGAGUACGGUCGCAAGAUUAAAACUCAAAGGAAUUGACGGGGACCCGCACAAGCGGUGGAUGAUGUGGAUUAAUUCGAUGCAACGCGAACAACCUUACCUACCCUUGACAUGUCUGGAAUCCUGCUGAAAGGCGGGAGUGCCCGAAAGGGAACCGGAACACAGGUGCUGCAUGGCUGUCGUCAGCUCGUGUCGUGAGAUGUUGGGUUAAGUCCCGCAACGAGCGCAACCCUUGUCCUUAGUUGCUACGCAAGGGCACUCUAAGGAGACUGCCGGUGACAAACCGGAGGAAGGUGGGGAUGACGUCAAGUCCUCAUGGCCCUUAUGGGUAGGGCUUCACACGUCAUACAAUGGUCGGUACAGAGGGUUGCCAACCCGCGAGGGGGAGCCAAUCCCAGAAAGCCGAUCGUAGUCCGGAUCGCAGUCUGCAACUCGACUGCGUGAA
rnacentral:rRNA from 1 species